AUGCACGCUGGCGGCGUGCCUAAUACCUGCAAGUCGAGCGAACAGACGAGGAGCUUGCUCCUCUGACGUUAGCGGCGGACGGGUGAGUAACACGUGGAUAACCUACCUAUAAGACUGGGAUAACUUCGGGAAACCGGAGCUAAUACCGGAUAAUAUAUUGAACCGCAUGGUUCAAUAGUGAAAGACGGUUUUGCUGUCACUUAUAGAUGGAUCCGCGCCGCAUUAGCUAGUUGGUAAGGUAACGGCUUACCAAGGCAACGAUGCGUAGCCGACCUGAGAGGGUGAUCGGCCACACUGGAACUGAGACACGGUCCAGACUCCUACGGGAGGCAGCAGUAGGGAAUCUUCCGCAAUGGGCGAAAGCCUGACGGAGCAACGCCGCGUGAGUGAUGAAGGUCUUCGGAUCGUAAAACUCUGUUAUUAGGGAAGAACAAAUGUGAAAGUAACUACGCACGUCUUGACGGUACCUAAUCAGAAAGCCACGGCUAACUACGUG
rnacentral:rRNA from 1 species